UAAUUAGCGGUAAAUACAACAUAUUCUUAAGUAAAUAAGAAUAUAGAUAAAAAUAACAAAUAAGAGAACAUAUUAAGAUGUUAUAUAUAAUGUCUUUUUCCCUGUUCUUCUUAUUGUUUUUUUAUUCUAUUUCUUUUUUUACGUAAGAAUGUAUUUACUUGAUUGUAAAGCUUCUUAGAGGGACAUUGUGUGUCUAACACAAGGAAGUUUAAGGCAACAACAGGUCUGUGAUGUCCUUAGAUGAACUAGGCUGCACGCGUGCUACACUGAUAUAUAUAACGAGUUAUUAAAGGUAUAUCUUUGUAUAUAUAUUCUGUAUAUAUAUACAAAAGGUAUAAUUUUCCUCCACUGAGAAGUGUAGGUAAUCUUUAUCAAUAUAUAUCGUGAUGGGGAUAGAUUAUUGCAAUUAUUAAUCUUGAACGAGGAAUGCCUAGUAAGCAUGAUUCAUCAGAUUGU
rnacentral:rRNA from 1 species